AGAAUCAACGCUGGCGGCGUGCCUAACACAUGCAAGUCGAACGAGAAAGUGGAGCAAUCCAUGAGUAAAGUGGCGACCGGGUGAGUAACACGUGACUAACCUACCUUCAAGUGGGGGAUAACCUCGGGAAACCGGGCUAAUACCGCAUAACAUCUUUGGAGUGGAAAUUCUGGAGAUCAAAGGAGUAAUUCGCUGGAAGAGGGGGUCGCGGCUGAUUAGCUAGUUGGCGGGGUAAUGGCCCACCAAGGCUUUGAUCGGUA
rnacentral:rRNA from 1 species